GACUUCUUUUAGUCGAAAAAAACCGUUGAGCGAGUUGGACGCGUUUUCAGUGCGAGGCUAUGUCGGUCGGUGUUUUCUACGUUUCUUGUCGGUGAAAAAUAAGAAUUAAAACAGAAACUUAAGUGCAGGAAUAUAGUGUAAAUUUUGAAAUCUGUGAAGUGAAAAUUGCAGUUUAAUUCAAAGAAGAAACGUUCUAACGACCGUGAAAUACGACAACAGAACGAGCGCGACGCUGGCAGCAACUGUGUUUUAUAGCCGUAACUGUAAAAACGCGGCUAAGCCGCUGACUUUCAAUCAUAAAUUAAAACGACGCCGAAUAUUCCAACUAAUUAAAAUUAAAGGUGCAGGCAGCUUGAACAAUGUGCAGACAGUUGCUGGCUAAACACGCUGGCAGGACAACAGACGCAAGGAUAAUCAACAGCAACAGCAAGGCUAAGCUCUAACAACAACAACAAACAUUGGCAGCAGCAACAACUUUUUAUAAUGCAUUUUUGAAAGCAAAAGAAACAAAAAGAAAAAAAAAAACAAUUAAGGCAAUGCCCUCCAUGAAACUUUUAAUGCAAGCAGCUUAAAAGGCAGCAUACACACUCACACACACACACACACACACAUUUGCACAGCUACAUACACAAACACA